UUUGACCUCGUAUUGGGCCAGAAAGGGGGCUAAUCCUUAGGUUCUUAAUUGGGAUCUGGAAUGAAUGAGUGAAUAAGGGGGGUCUGUCUAUCAAUAGAGUUUGAAAUUAAAUUUUUAGUAAGAAUGCUAGAAUGAUUCAGUGGGACGAUAAGACCCUAUAAAGCUUUACUAACCUUUAGUAAAAAUUUUUACUACUUUUAUGAAGAGGUUUAGUUUUNCUGGGGCCGGUAGUUAUCAAAUUAAGUUAUUUUCAUUUUCUGUGGGGCCCNCAUUUGGGGAGAAUUAAGNNAAUGUGACAUUAGGGGUAUCAGCGCAUUAUANCUCUGGGAGUUAUAUCGAAGAGAUGAGUGUGACACUCGAUGUUGAAUUAACCUUAUUGUAAGGGGAAGAAGCUUUACGAGUUAGUCUGUUCGACUAUUAAAGGGUUACGUGAUUUGAGUUCAAACCGGUUUAAGCCAGGUUGGUUUCUAUUUACUGGAUUUAAAAAAUUUUUUAGUACGAAAGGACCAGAGAUUUUAGAUUUUUUAUUUAAUAUCGUUUUGGCCUUUUUAGGUCUUU
rnacentral:rRNA from 1 species